UACGAGGGGCCCAAACGUUAUUCGGAAUUACUGGGCUUAAAGAGCUCGUAGGCGGCUUGUCACGUCGGGUGUGAAAGCCCGGGGCUUAACCCCGGGUCUGCAUUCGAUACGGGCUAGCUAGAGUGUGGUAGGGGAGAUCGGAAUUCCUGGUGUAGCGGUGAAAUGCGCAGAUAUCAGGAGGAACACCGGUGGCGAAGGCGGAUCUCUGGGCCAUUACUGACGCUGAGGAGCGAAAGCGUGGGGAGCGAACAGG
rnacentral:rRNA from 1 species